CAUCUUCCUGUCCUCUUCCUGUCCUCUUCCUGUCAUCUGCCUAUCAUCUUCUAGAACACCCAUUUUAUUGGUAGGAUGUAAAAUGUCCCUCAGAGUAGAGAGGUUCUGGUCACUCUGUGGAGGAGAUGUAGGAGAUGUAUGAUGGUGGGUGGAGGUGAUGGAGGAGAUUUAUGUGCUCUGGGGGUGAGUGUGUAGUUAAGGGAAGGUAGAUGAUGGUGUGUAGGAGAUGGAGUAGAUGUAUGAUGGUGGGUGGAGGAGGUGGAGGUGAUGGAGUAGAUGUAUGAUUGUGGGUGGAGGAGGCGGAGAAGAUGAAGGGGAGGUAUGGUGGUGGAUGGAGGAGGUGGAGGUGAUGGAGAUGUAUGAUGGUGGGUGGAGGAGAUAUAGGAGAUGGAUGUGCUCUGGGAAUGAGUGUGUAGUAAAGGGAAGGUAGAUGAUGAUGGGUUGAGAAGAUGUAUGAUGGUGGGUGGAGGAGAUGUAGGAGAUGUAUGAUGGUGUUUGGAGGUGAUGGAGGAGAUGAGUAUGAGAUGUAUGAUGGUGGGUGGAGGAGAUAUAUGAUGAUGGGUUGAGAAGAUGUAUGAUGGUGUGUGGAGGAGAUGUAGGAGAUGUAUGGUGGUGGGUGGAGGAGAUGUAUGAUGGUGGGUGGAGGUGAUGGAGGAGAUGUAUGAUGGUGGGUGGAGGUGAUGGAGGAGAUGUAUGAUGGUGGGUGGAGGAGAUGGAGGAGAUGUAUGAUGGUGGGUGGAGGAGAUGGAGGAGAUGUAUGAUGGUGGGUGGAGGUGAUGGAGGAGAUGUAUGAUGGUGGGUGGAGGAGAUGGAGGAGAUGUAUGAUGAUGGGUGGAGGAGAUGUAUGAUGGUGGAUGGAGGAGAUGUAUGAUGAUGGUGGAGGAGAUGUAUGACGUGGGUGGAGGAGAUAUAUGAUGAUGGGUGGAGGAGAUGUAUGAUGAUGGGUGGAGGAGAUGUAUGAUGGUGAGUGGAGGUGAUGGAGGAGAUGUAUGAUGGUGGGUGGAGGAGAUGUGUGAUGGUGGGUGGAGGUGAUGGAGGAGAUGUAUGAUGGUGGGUGGAGGUGAUGGAGGAGAUGUAUGAUGGUGGGUGGAGGAGAUGUGUGAUGGUGGGUGGAGGUGAUGGAGGAGAUGUAUGAUGGUGGGUGGAGGUGAUGGAGGAGAUGUAUGAUGGUGGGUGGAGGAGAUGGAGGAGAUGUAUGAUGAUGGGUGGAGGAGAUGUGUGAUGGUGGGUGGAGGUGAUGGAGGAGAUGUAUGAUGGUGGGUGGAGGUGAUGGAGGAGAUGUAUGAUGGUGGGUGGAGGAGAUGGAGGAGAUGUAUGAUGAUGGGUGGAGGAGAUGUAUGAUGGUGGGUGGAGGAGAUGGAAGAGAUGUAUGAUGAUGGGUGGAGGAGAUGUAUGACGUGGGUGGAGGAGAUGGAAGAGAUAUAUGAUGAUGGGUGGAGGAGAUGUAUGGUGGUGGGUGGAGGUGAUGUAGGUGGUGGGUGGAGGUGGUGUAGGUGAUGGAGGUGCUGUAUGAUGGUAGGUGGAGGUGGUGUAGGUGAUGGAGGAGAUGUAUGAUGAUGGGUGGAGGAGAUGUAUGAUGGUGGGUGGAGGAGAUGGAAGAGAUGUAUGAUGAUGGGUGGAGGAGAUGUAUGACGUGGGUGGAGGAGAUAUAUGAUGAUGGGUGGAGGAGAUGUAUGGUGGUGGGUGGAGGUGAUGUAGGUGGUGGGUGGAGGUGGUGUAGGUGAUGGAGGUGCUGUAUGAUGGUAGGUGGAGGUGGUGUAGGUGAUGGAGGAGAUGUAUGAUGAUGGGUGGAGGAGAUGUAUGGUGGUGGGUGGAGGUGAUGUAGGUGGUGGGUGGAGGUGGUGUAGGUGAUGGAGGUGCUGUAUGAUGGUAGGUGGAGGUGGUGUAGGUGAUGGAGGAGAUGUAUGAUGAUGGGUGGAGGAGAUGUAUGAUGGUGGGUGGAGGAGAUGGAAGAGAUGUAUGAUGAUGGGUGGAGGAGAUGUAUGACGUGGGUGGAGGAGAUAUAUGAUGAUGGGUGGAGGAGAUGUAUGGUGGUGGGUGGAGGUGAUGUAGGUGGUGGGUGGAGGUGGUGUAGGUGAUGGAGGUGCUGUAUGAUGGUAGGUGGAGGUGGUGUAGGUGAUGGAGGUGCUGGGGGAGAGGGAGAGCUGGCAGUGGGACAGGGCUGAGGGAGAGGAACCCGGAGCCACAGCUCCUUUUAUGGUGUGGAGGAAUGUGAGCGGCAGAGCUGAGAGAACACUGCCAGCAUUAGCUCACCCAAUCACAGAGCUCCGAUAAGAUAACAAAACCCUGCUCUGAGUCACACACACACACACACACACACACACACACACUGUAAAGUACGGCGGGUAGGUGGAGCUCACUGUGAGAAAAGGUGAUGUCAUUGAGAAAAAGCUGUUUUAUAGGUGAAUAUUUGUAAAAUGAUCACAGGAAACAGUCAGUAAAACUGUAUUUUAUCUAGGGCUUGAUGAUAUGGCUCAAAACUAAUUUUAGCUGACUGGUGAUAUACCAUAUAUAUAUUUUGAUUUUUUUUUUUUUAGCUAAAUGGUCAUAUACGAUAUUUAUUUAUCUAAUUUUUUUUCAGCUGUAUUGUAAAAACUCUUCAUUCAACUAAAAAAUAUUGAUAUAUAAAUAUUGUAUAUCGCAAUUCAGCAAAAAAAAUUAUAUAUGUAUAUAUGUAUCAAUAUUUUUUAGCUGAAUGAAGAUACAUGAUAUGUAUAUAUAUAUAUUUUAAUAUUUAGCUGAUUGGUGAUUUUUAGAAUGGAUAUACAAUAUCACCAUUAUACUGAUUUCUUUAUUUCAUUCUUAUAAUUAUUAUUAUUUUUUAUUUUUAAAUAUCUCAGUUAAGGGUGUGCCAUUUCAUAUCACAUACAAUAGUAAAAUAUUUUUUUAAUUCAGUGUUUUGUCAUAUCACCAUGUUUUGUUUCGUUAUCGCGAAUAUCGUUAUUUUAGUAUCACUCAUCCCUGAAACUUUUUGCACGCUUUACACAGCAGGAUAUCUUCAACUUUGGUAGCAGUGUCCUCAUGCUGUUAGCAUAGCCGAUAUUUAGCUGUUUUUCAUGUUUUUGCUAAUUCUAUGCUAAAAAAACUCAGUCCUGUUGUUAUUCAAAAUAUAAAAAGUAACAGGAGUGAGUUUCAGUAACAGGAGGGGUUUUCUGUCAUAAAUAUCAAUAGAGAUAUUUAAACAAUACAAGAGUUUUUUUCAGAUUUAUAACAAAAGUCAGAAGUUUCGUUUCAUUAUUGCGAAAAUACAAUAAAAUAUUGUGAAUAUCGUAAUUUUAGGGACGUAUCGCCCACCCCUGAAACUUUUUGCACGCUUUACACAGCAGGAUAUCUUGGAUUCUCUACUGUUGUUGGGCUGCCGUUCAACUUCGGUAGCAAACGGCUCAUCCAUCACCUACACAGUCACGCCAGAAAUGCAGAGCUGGAGAAUGUCCUCUGCUCUUAAUACAAACACCAUCGCUCGGGUUAAUAAUGCCUGAGUGCAGGCAGGCGUCUCGAGUUCGGUUUCUUACCUCCUGGCUUUACGUAGGUAUAUCCCAGCUCUUUCUCGGAGAUGAGUUUCCCUUUGAA